GGAUUCCAACCGAAUGGUAACAUUCAGCGGUGCGCUGUGAGCCGCUGGCUUAAGUAGGAAGUUGCCAACUUCCUGGUACUGCCGAUUGUGUCGUUGCCGACUGCUGUUUUUGCCACCCGUUGUUUACCACCAAAGCUGCCCAACUGUCCUGGGCUAGCCUGGAGGAUAGCGGCGAAGACGCUAACGACCACUCCUUUUGAACGUGAUCUGUCUGUUGACUUGUCCUUGUGUGUUUCCACCUGUCCGUGUCGCAACUAGUGUGUGUCUGUGUGUGUGUGUAGAGUGUUGACGAGUGCGUGCGUGUUUGUCCUGGGCUAGCCUGGAGGAUAGCGGCGAAGACGCUAACGACCACUCCUUUUGAACGUGAUCUGUCUGUUGACUUGUCCUUGUGUGUUUCCACCUGUCCGUGUCGCAACUAGUGUGUCGGUGUGUGUGUGUAGAGUGUUGGCGAGUGCGUGCGUGUUUGUCCUGGGGAAGUGUUUGGUUUAAUUUGGGGGAUUCUGUUUAUGGUUUGUUUUGAGCCCUGCUUCUGUUAAGCCACUGGCAGGAGGCCUUUUUAUAGCUGCGGAUAACCAGUGGGCUAUCACGCAUGUUUAAGAUCCUUUUUGGCCUGGUUUGUGUGUUUGUGUUAUAUUUUGUUUUCUUACUGAUUUCCUUUUGUGAAUUACAUUUUGUGUAGUUGUGUUUAUUGUUUUGUUUGGUCGUUUGUAUCUGCCCUCAUCUCUCUUUUGUUCCUUCGUUUCCAGGCGCUGAGUGCCCACCGCAGGGAGGCAACUAGAUCCUUUAGGUGGUGGUGCCCCCUUCCCGAGUGUGGUUUCACGUGUGUCCUCUUGGAAUUUCUCUUUUAUCAUUUUGAUCCUGUGUUGCUGUGUGUAUGUGCGAGCACGAGUGACUGGUUGGUGUUUAUGUGUCUCCCCCUCCGUCUCCUGGUAUCUUGCCCCCUGCUGGUAAGCCUCAGCCCUAACCAUCCUGUCUAUCCCCUACAUACCAAUUGAUUUCAUUUAUCCUGUUUGUUACAUGUGGAACACACAUGUUUUAGUUAAUAAAAACAACUUAUUUUUGGAA